rnacentral:tRNA from 1 species
GCGGGGAUGUCUGAGCUGGUCAAAAGAACUGGGCUCAGGACCCAGUGGCGCAGAUAUUUAAAAUAGCGCAAGCCUGCGUGGGUUCGAGAGAUACUAUCCGAAAAUCCCACUCCCCGCACCA